UCUGUAGCAAGGUUAACCGUAUAGGGGAGCCGGAGGGAAACCGAGUCUUAAUUGGGCGUUAAGUUGCAGGGUAUAGACCCGAAACCCGGUGAUCUAGCCAUGGGCAGGUUGAAGGUUGGGUAACACUAACUGGAGGACCGAACCGACUAAUGUUGAAAAAUUAGCGGAUGACCUGUGGCUGGGGGUGAAAGGCCAAUCAAACCGGGAGAUAGCUGGUUCUCCCCGAAAGCUAUUUAGGUAGCGCCUCGUGAAUUCAUCUCCGGGGGUAGAGCACUGUUUCGGCUAGGGGGCCAUCCCGGCUUACCAACCCGAUGCAAACUGCGAAUACCGGAGAAUGUUAUCACGGGAGACACACGGCGGGUGCUAACGUCCGUCGUGAAGAGGGAAACAACCCAGACCGCCAGCUAAGGUCCCAAAGUCAUGGUUAAGUGGGAAACGAUGUGGGAAGGCCCAGACAGCCAGGAUGUUGGCUUAGAAGCAGCCAUCAUUUAAAGAAAGCGUAAUAGCUCACUGGUCGAGUCGGCCUGCGCGGAAGAUGUAACGGGGCUAAACCAUGCACCGAAGCUGCGGCAGCGAACGUAUCACCCAAGACAACUUUACGGAGUUGACGAUUGACGGAGCGAAGCGACGUCAAAGCGUUCAUUAAAGUCGAGUUGGCUUAGGGAUACGUUCGUUGGGUAGGGGAGCGUUCUGUAAGCCUGUGAAGGUGUGUCGUGAGGCAUGCUGGAGGUAUCAGAAGUGCGAAUGCUGACAUAAGUAACGAUAAAGCGGGUGAAAAGCCCGCUCGCCGGAAGACCAAGGGUUCCUGUCCAACGUUAAUCGGGGCAGGGUGAGUCGACCCCUAAGGCGAGGCCGAAAGGCGUAGUCGAUGGGAAACGGGUUAAUAUUCCCGUACUUGGUGUUACUGCGAAGGGGGGACGGAGAAGGCUAUGUUGGCCGGGCGACGGUUGUCCCGGUUUAAGCGUGUAGGUGUGUGUUCCAGGUAAAUCCGGUUCACUUUAACACUGAGGCGUGACGACGAGGCACUACGGUGCUGAAGCAACAAAUGCCCUGCUUCCAGGAAAAGCCUCUAAGCAUCAGGUAACAUCAAAUCGUACCCCAAACCGACACAGGUGGUCAGGUAGAGAAUACCAAGGCGCUUGAGAGAACUCGUGUGAAGGAACUAGGCAAAAUGGUGCCGUAACUUCGGGAGAAGGCACGCUGACACGUAGGUGAAGUGAUUUACUCAUGGAGCUGAAGUCAGUCGAAGAUACCAGCUGGCUGCAACUGUUUAUUAAAAACACAGCACUGUGCAAACACGAAAGUGGACGUAUACGGUGUGACGCCUGCCCGGUGCCGGAAGGUUAAUUGAUGGGGUCAGCGCAAGCGAAGCUCCUGAUCGAAGCCCCGGUAAACGGCGGCCGUAACUAUAACGGUCCUAAGGUAGCGAAAUUCCUUGUCGGGUAAGUUCCGACCUGCACGAAUGGCGUAAUGAUGGCCAGGCUGUCUCCACCCGAGACUCAGUGAAAUUGAACUCGCUGUGAAGAUGCAGUGUACCCGCGGCAAGACGGAAAGACCCCGUGAACCUUUACUAUAGCUUGACACUGAACAUUGAGCCUUGAUGUGUAGGAUAGGUGGGAGGCUUUGAAGUGUGGACGCCAGUCUGCAUGGAGCCGACCUUGAAAUACCACCCUUUAAUGUUUGAUGUUCUAACGUGGACCCGUAAUCCGGGUUGCGGACAGUGUCUGGUGGGUAGUUUGACUGGGGCGGUCUCCUCCUAAAGAGUAACGGAGGAGCACGAAGGUUGGCUAAUCCUGGUCGGACAUCAGGAGGUUAGUGCAAUGGCAUAAGCCAGCUUGACUGCGAGCGUGACGGCGCGAGCAGGUGCGAAAGCAGGUCAUAGUGAUCCGGUGGUUCUGAAUGGAAGGGCCAUCGCUCAACGGAUAAAAGGUACUCCGGGGAUAACAGGCUGAUACCGCCCAAGAGUUCAUAUCGACGGCGGUGUUUGGCACCUCGAUGUCGGCUCAUCACAUCCUGGGGCUGAAGUAGGUCCCAAGGGUAUGGCUGUUCGCCAUUUAAAGUGGUACGCGAGCUGGGUUUAGAACGUCGUGAGACAGUUCGGUCCCUAUCUGCCGUGGGCGCUGGAGAACUGAGGGGGGCUGCUCCUAGUACGAGAGGACCGGAGUGGACGCAUCACUGGUGUUCGGGUUGUCAUGCCAAUGGCACUGCCCGGUAGCUAAAUGCGGAAGAGAUAAGUGCUGAAAGCAUCUAAGCACGAAACUUGCCCCGA
rnacentral:rRNA from 1 species